GGGCCUGCAGUGGCUCAGAGGCCACAGAGAAGCAGACGCUUGCAGAAGAGGCUGAGGAAGGAGGACUGCGAUGAGUACAUCACAGUGGCAUGACACAGCACAGAGGGCGAGAAUUCAGCAGAGGUAGCAGCCGGCCAGACGCGCCAGGAGAGCAUAAUUCAUCCUCCCUCUCAGGCUCACAUUUGCAGAAAUCUCGAGAGAGCGAGAGAGACAUCUAAGGCCUUCUCCUCCUGCUGCGUCUUCAUUUACACAUAUCCUGCCUAAGUUUCAUGUUGGGACCGGCCCCAGAUACUUUGCACACGCGCAUCUAUGGCUAAAGGAGUUGGUGAGUGACUUUUCCUAGUGAAAUUUUAAUAAGGGGAAAAAAGACGUUGUGUGUGUGAUA